UACAGAGGUCUCAAGCGUUGUUCGGAUUCAUUGGGCGUAAAGGGUGCGUAGGCGGCGCGGUAAGUCGGGUGUGAAAUCUCGGGGCUUAACUCCGAAACUGCAUUCGAUACUGCCGUGCUUGAGGACUGGAGAGGAGACUGGAAUUUACGGUGUAGCGGUGAAAUGCGUAGAGAUCGUAAGGAAGACCAGUGGCGAAGGCGAGUUUCUGGACGGUAACUGACGCUGAGGCACGAAGGCCAGGGGAGCAAACGGG
rnacentral:rRNA from 1 species